rnacentral:rRNA from 1 species
AGUGAACGUUGGCGGCGUGGAUUAGGCAUGCAAGUCGAGCGGGAGCAGCAAUACUCCAGCGGCGAAAGGGAGAGUAAUGCGUAGAUUACCUACCUCCAGGCCCGGGAUAGCCGUGGGAAACUGCGGGUAAUACCGGAUAAUGUCUCCGGACCAAAGGUGUGAUUCCGCCUGGAGACGGAUCUGCGUCCUAUCAGCUAGUUGGUGAGGUAACGGCUUACCAAGGCGACGACGGGUACGAGGCGUGAGAGCGUGUCCUCGCUCACUGGGACUGUGACACUGCCCAGACACCUACGGGUGGCUGCAGUCGAGAAUCUUCGUCAAUGGGCGCAAGCCUGAACGAGCGACGCCGCGUGCGGGAUGAAGGCCUUCGGGUUGUAAACCGCUGUCAGAGGGGAUGAAAUGCCGGUGGGUUCUCCCAUCGGUUUGACAGAUCCUCAGAGGAAGUACGGGCUAAGUUCGUGCCAGCAGCCGCAGUAA